rnacentral:ncRNA from 1 species
GUAGGUGGCUUUUCAAGUCCGCCGUCAAAUCCCAGGGCUCAACCCUGGACAGGCGGUGGAAACUACCAAGCUGGAGUACGGUAGGGGCAGAGGGAAUUUCCGGUGGAGCGGUGAAAUGCAUUGAGAUCUUCUGAGUCUUCUGCUCGAGUCCUAUAUUCUUCUUCUAGGGUCCUAUAUCUAAA